GCCGCCUCCCUCCGCCUCCCUCCGCCUCCACUGUUCCUGGUCAGCCCCAGGUGGUCGCCAGGUGACACAGGGCCUGCCUCCAAGGACCUCUCCUGGCUGGGCCCAGGGAGGGUCGCGGUGGCGAGCAUUUGUCCUGGAUUGAAGUCUGCCAGAGGUUCUGGAGGCGCUUUGGGCUCAGGCCGGAAAAGGGACCUGCUGGCAGCGGGGACGCCCUGGCCCUGGGCCUCUGCGCCGGGCUCUACCCCCGCCUGCCCUUCUCAGGGGUGGACGUGGAUGGCCCCGUCUUCCAUCCCCUUCCUGGGGCAGAAGCUCUGGUGGCCUCGGCCCCGCCAGCAUCCUUGGGAGGCCGCUCUGGGCGGCAGCGAGGCUCCUGCUGUGCCCUGGCGCCUCUGGCCGGGGCUCUGCAGAACAGCCCCGGCUCCGGCUCUCUGGGCUGUGGGAGCACCCCCAGGUCCCUGCCUGGAGAUGAAGUGCCGGGCUUGGACCCCCCACCACCCGGGGACCAAGAGGGCCAGCCCAACAUGGAGACCUGCUCCAAACCCAGGUGCAAGGCGGCGAAGGCGGCGAUGGCGGCCGGGUCCUGCAAGGAUGCAGCGUGAGGUCCUCCUGGGCACAGGCCCCGAGUGAGACGGGCCGGUCAGGGGAGAGCGCGAGGCGGGCAGCUGGCCUGGGCGGGGCUGAGGAGUGAGCUGCGAGCUCUGACCUGGGCUGAGGUGUGGGCGCUGUGACAGGCCGUGACAGACGCUCCAGGAAGCAGAUCCUGUAGGAGGAGGUCCCCAAGCUUGUCCCCCGACUUGAUCCCCUGUCCCGGGUUCAGAGUGAAGCCCAGGACCCCAGGUGAUCAGCACUGCCACUGCCCAAGGCAACGUUUCCGGGUCUCUCUCUGGUGUGGAUCAGGUGUCCUUUGUCACUUGGAGGGAGCUGCCUGAGCGGUGACCUUCAGGGUGACCUGGCUGAGCUCACCAGGGGCAAGAGUCUUCUCCUUGUUCUCUCUGCCUUUGAACUUCAGCCUGGUCUUCCUGCUGACCCUUGGUGGGGACCUUGACUUCCCAAAGUAAGCUGUCCCAGAGGACCGCCCACAGCUGGGAGCAGGCUUUCUUCAAUUUUAAGAGUUACUGAUGGACCUCUAUUCAUUCAUUUGUGAGGCGCUAACCCUGACCCUGACCCUGACCCAGGGCCGCCCACGGCUAGGCAAGCCCGCUACCACCGCGCCACACCCCGCCCUGGAGAGCAGUGCUUAUCUGGAGAGAAUGGAUUGGGCUGUAGGGAAAGCGCGGUGUGCACAGUUUGGCUUACACAGAUCAUUGGUGAAAGAGAAAUGGGUGCCCUCCUGUUCCCACCCAGAUGUUGCUGGGUGCAGUCAGCUCUGGAGCACAGGAGGUCAGGUGAUGCGGGACUCCUCUCCAUCCCCAUCUGGUUGUGGUACUGGGGACGGGACCAGGACUGCUUCACCACUGCGCGGCACCCCAGUCCUUUUAAAGUUUAUUUAUUCCUCAACUUUGAGGCAGGGUCUUGCUAAGUGGCUGAGGCUGGCCAACUUGCGAUCCUCCUGCCUCAGCCUCCCAGGUGGCUAGGAUGACGGGUGUGCACCACUCUCUGCUCCUUCCCCCUGUACUGGGCUCCUUUGCGCUUUGCCUGCCAGCACUGGCACCGAUUCCAGAACCAGCAGGAGCUCCGAUCCUGGGAUGUCACCACCAGCCCCAGGACACUUCAUCACCUCCGGCCCCUCGUCCCCUAUCUGUCUCUGUGGCUUCUGGUCACCCUCUGGGCUGCGCUGUUUUCUUUGGUGCUCUUCGAGGAUCACAACACCCGGUUCAUCUCAGAAGAGUGUGUUGUGUGGUGGAUCUGGCCACAGGGAGGGAAAGGAGGUGCUGAUGGGGGUGAGGCCCGGAACCGCCACAGGAAUGUGCGUAAGGGGGGACGCGGGCCUCGCGGGCCUGGGGCACUGUAGAGUCUGGCCCCGGUAUUUCCCUCCCUCCCCUCCUGCCCCUUUCCUCUACUGAUUUCCCCUCGAUUUUCAUGAGACCUCCCCCCACCCCACACCCCACACCCCCUUUUCCUUUUUCCCCUCUCACCUCCAUUUUCUUAAUAUCACGGUCUGCAGUCCCAGCGCUCUGCUGCGAAUGACGCGAUCCCUCCUUCGUGACUGUGUACUGCACGGUUCCCUGUCCCCUCCUCUGCCGUGGACACCCAGGAGGUUCUGGAGACGGGCUGUUGUGAAUGUGCUGCUGUAAACGUGGCACGCGUGGUCGCUGUCGCACGCACACGGCUUUAGACCCUCAGGAUAGCCACCGAGGAGGGCUCCGCUGGGCCACGUGGCCCCAGGCCUAAGCCCUGUCCCUGUGGUGGUACUCACUGAGGCUCCCAGCAACGGGGGAAGGCGCCCCUGCCCACGUCCCCUGCCCACGUCCCCUCCCGAGUCUGUGUGGUGACGACGGACGAGGGCCCACGCGAGCGAUUCCCUUACGUGAAGGCCCAGCAGGCAACCCGCAGGGAGGGCGGAGGGCAGCCUGGGGGGCGAGGACGCGGCCGGCUCCCUGUGGGGUGAGUGUGCUGGAGUCGGCCGAGGAGACGGGCACAGCUCUGAGGACACUGACAGCGUCAUCUUCACACCUGAAGGGUGUGUGUUUGGGGUAGGAUUGUGUCCCCAGACCCUGUCAAACCUCACCGCUGAUCCCGCGGGAACCCGGCCCACGGCUUCCUUCCCCACCCAGGGCCUCACGUGUGCUGGGCAGGCUUCUGCCACCGAGCCACACCCAGGGCUUCCCAUCACCUUCUUAUGUAUUUAUCUUGUGCACUUUACCCCUGAGCCGCACCCCAGCCCUUUAGGUCUCCUGUUUUGGGACGGGGUCUUGCCACGUUGCUCAGGACCUCUUCUAAGUUGCUGAGGCUGCUUGAACUUGGGAUCCUCCUGCCUCAGCCUCCCGAGCCACUGGGGUCACAGAGGUGUGCCACCACACCCAGCUGACCUUUUGGUUUUUGAGUCUCGCUAAGUUGCCACGGCUGGCCUCGGCUUCACACCCCGUGGCCUCGCUCCCCGUGGCGGGACGCUCACUCGCUGACGGCCCCUCCCCUCCCUCGUCUCACUGGGCUCCAUCGCUUCCUCGAGAGGCUCUGCGGUGCUCUGCCCUCUGCCUGCCCUCACCGGUUCCUUUGGUCUGAUCGCGAUGUGCCUGGGUGGGGUAUUCUUUAUCAAUCCUGUUUUGGGGUUGCUCACUUUUUGAAUCUGGGUUGAUGUCUUUUGUCAAUUUUAAUAAAUCACUGUUGUCUUUAUUUA